rnacentral:rRNA from 1 species
GAAGGCUAUGUUGGCCGGGCGACGGUUGUCCCGGUUUAAGCGUGUAGGUGUGUGUUCCAGGUAAAUCCGGUUCACUUUAACACUGAGGCGUGACGACGAGGCACUACGGUGCUGAAGCAACAAAUGCCCUGCUUCCAGGAAAAGCCUCUAAGCAUCAGGUAACAUCAAAUCGUACCCCAAACCGACACAGGUGGUCAGGUAGAGAAUACCAAGGCGCUUGAGAGAACUCGGGUGAAGGAACUAGGCAAAAUGGUGCCGUAACUUCGGGAGAAGGCACGCUGACACGUAGGUGAAGUGAUUUACUCAUGGAGCUGAAGUCAGUCGAAGAUACCAGCUGGCUGCAACUGUUUAUUAAAAACACAGCACUGUGCAAACACGAAAGUGGACGUAUACGGUGUGACGCCUGCCCGGUGCCGGAAGGUUAAUUGAUGGGGUCAGCGCAAGCGAAGCUCCUGAUCGAAGCCCCGGUAAACGGCGGCCGUAACUAUAACGGUCCUAAGGUAGCGAAAUUCCUUGUCGGGUAAGUUCCGACCUGCACGAAUGGCGUAAUGAUGGCCAGGCUGUCUCCACCCGAGACUCAGUGAAAUUGAACUCGCUGUGAAGAUGCAGUGUACCCGCGGCAAGACGGAAAGACCCCGUGAACCUUUACUAUAGCUUGACACUGAACAUUGAGCCUUGAUGUGUAGGAUAGGUGGGAGGCUUUGAAGCGUGGACGCCAGUCUGCGUGGAGCCGACCUUGAAAUACCACCCUUUAAUGUUUGAUGUUCUAACGUGGACCCGUUACCCGGGUUGCGGACAGUGUCUGGUGGGUAGUUUGACUGGGGCGGUCUCCUCCUAAAGAGUAACGGAGGAGCACGAAGGUUGGCUAAUCCUGGUCGGACAUCAGGAGGUUAGUGCAAUGGCAUAAGCCAGCUUGACUGCGAGCGUGACGGCGCGAGCAGGUGCGAAAGCAGGUCAUAGUGAUCCGGUGGUUCUGAAUGGAAGGGCCAUCGCUCAACGGAUAAAAGGUACUCCGGGGAUAACAGGCUGAUACCGCCCAAGAGUUCAUAUCGACGGCGGUGUUUGGCACCUCGAUGUCGGCUCAUCACAUCCUGGGGCUGAAGUAGGUCCCAAGGGUAUGGCUGUUCGCCAUUUAAAGUGGUACGCGAGCUGGGUUUAGAACGUCGUGAGACAGUUCGGUCCCUAUCUGCCGUGGGCGCUGGAGAACUGAGGGGGGCUGCUCCUAGUACGAGAGGACCGGAGUGGACGCAUCACUGGUGUUCGGGUUGUCAUGCCAAUGGCACUGCCCGGUAGCUAAAUGCGGAAGAGAUAAGUGCUGAAAGCAUCUAAGCACGAAACUUGCCCCGA